CCGUAUCGCGCCACAUCAGACCAUUAAUUGGUGCGCGUGUAGAGUGGGUAUAUAAAGGCGCUCGUGAUCACUAUUCCGGCAUAACACAUUUUUGUGCGAUUUUAUUCAUUGUCUUCACUUCACUCCAAAAAAACCAAACCAAAAAUCAAAAAUGGGCGCUGAAAAGGUAUCCAUGAACAUCGUUGUCGUCGGACAAGUCCAAUAUGCUAAGGCCAUCAAAACCGUCGUCAAGGUAGCUCCAACCACCAGCCAAUUGAUGAAGUGUUAAGUUAUGUGAUCCAUCAAUAACAAACCUAAAAAUGCCAUAGCCCAAACAACAUAUAUUAUAUUUAUAACGUAUGUUGACAUUGCAAAAUAAAACAGUCUUCUCCGUAAUUUA